CAUGCGUGAGCCACCGCACCCAGCCUAGUUCUGGAGGUUAGAAAAUCUAAGGUCGAGGAGCCUGCAUCUGGUGAGGGCCUUCUUGCUGCAUCAUUUCAUGGUGAAAGGUGGAAGUGCAAGAGCGCAUGAAAAAGCAAUAGAGCAAGAGGGGGCCUAACUUGCUUCUUAUAACAAUCCACUAUGUGAUAAGCAACCCACUCCCAUGAUAAUGCCGUUAAUCCACUCAUGAGGGCACAGCCCUCAUGACCUGGUUACCUCUGAAAAGCCCCACCUCUCAACACUGUUGCAUUGGGGAUUAAGUUUCUAACAUGUGAGCUUUGGAAGACACAUUUAAGCAAUAGCAGUGUGAGAUAUGGGCCUACUUUUAUUCUUCUCCAUGAGGAUAUCAAGUUGUCCCAAUACCAUUUAUUGAAGAAAAUGUCCUUUCUCCAUUAUGAGUUCUUGGCACCUUUAUUAAAAAUCAAUUGGCUUUAAAUGUGUGAAUUUACUUUUGGGUUAUCUAUUCUGCUCUGUUGGUCUGUGUGUCUGUUUUUAUUACCAGUACCAUACUGUUUUUAUUACUACAGCUUUGUAGUGUAUUUCGAAGUCAGGUAGUGUGAGGACUCCAGAUUUGGUUUUGCUCAAGAUUGCUUUGGCUAUUUUGCAUCUUUUGUGGUAUUAUACAA
rnacentral:lncRNA from 1 species